GACGAACGCUGGCGGCGUGCUUAACACAUGCAAGUCGAACGGAAAGGCCCUGCUUUUGUGGGGUGCACGAGUGGCGAACGGGUGAGUAACACGUGAGUAACCUGCCCUUGACUUAGGGAUAACUUCAGGAAACUGGGGCUAAUACCGGAUAGGAUCUCCUGCUGCAUGGUGGGGGUUGGAAAGUUUCGGCGGUGGGGGAUGGGCUCGCGGCUUAUCCGCUUGUUGGUGGGGUAGUGGCUGACCAAGGCUUUGAAGGGUAGCCGGCCUGAGAGGGUGACCGGCCACCUUGGGACUGAGAUACGGCCCAGACUCCUACGUGAGGCAGCAGUCGGGAAUAUUGCACAAUGAGCGGAAGCCUGAUGCAGCAACGCCGCGUGCGGGAUGACGGCCUUCGGGUUGUAAACCGCUUUCUCCUGUGACGAAGCGUGAGUGACGGUACUGGGUAAAGAAGCACCGGCUAACUACGUG
rnacentral:rRNA from 1 species